rnacentral:rRNA from 1 species
UGGGAACGCGAAGAACCUUACCUAGACUUGACAUCUCCUGAAUUACCCUUAAUCGGGGAAGCCCUUCGGAGCAGGAAGACAGGUGGUGCAUGGUUGUCGUCAGCUCGUGUCGUGAGAUGUUGGGUUAAGUCCCGCAACGAGCGUAACCCUUAUUGUUAGUUGCUACCAUUUAGUUGAGCACUCUAGCGAGACUGCCCGGGUUAACCGGGAGGAAGGUGGGGAUGACGUCAAAUCAUCAUGCCCCUUAUGUCUAGGGCUACACACGUGCUACAAUGGCUGGUACAGAGAGAUGCUAAACCGUGAGGUGGAGCCAAACUUUAAACCAGUCUCAGUUCGGAUUGUAGGCUGAAACUCGCCUACAUGAAGCUGGAGUUGCUAGUAAUCGCGAAUCAGAAUGUCGCGGUGAAUACGUUCCCGGGUCUUGUACACACCG